rnacentral:rRNA from 1 species
GACGGAAGCUGGCGGCGUGCUUAACACAUGCAAGUCGAACGAAGAGCGAUGGAAGCUUGCUUCUAUCAAUCUUAGUGGCGAACGGGUGAGUAACCGCGUAAUCAACCUGCCCUUCCAGAGGGGGACAACAGUUGGAAACGACCUGCUAAUACCGCAUACGAUCUAAUCUCGGCAUCGAGGAUAGAUGAAAGGUGGCCUCUACAUGUAAGCUAUCACUGAAGGAGGGGAUUGCGUCUGAUUAGCUAGUUGGAGGGGUAACGGCCCCACCAAGGCGAUGAUCAGUAGCCGGUCUGAGAGGAUGAACGGCCACAUUGGGACUGAGACACGGCCCAGACCUCUACGGGAGGCAGCAGUGGGGAAUCUUCCGCAAUGGACGAAAGUCUGACGGAGCAACGCCGCGUGAGUGAUGACGGCUUCGGGUUGUAAAGCUCUGUUAAUCGGGACGAAAGGCCUUUCUUGCGAAUAGUGAGAAGGAUUGACGGUACCCGGAAUUA